AUUGAACGCUGGCGGCAUGCCUUACACAUGCAAGUCGAACGGCAGCACGGGGGCAACCCUGGUGGCGAGUGGCGAACGGGUGAGUAAUGCAUCGGAACGUGCCCAGUAGUGGGGGAUAACCAGUCGAAAGACUGGCUAAUACCGCAUACGACCCAAGGGUGAAAGCGGGGGACCGUAAGGCCUCGCGCUAUUGGAGCGGCCGAUGUCUGAUUAGCUAGUUGGCGGGGUAAGAGCCCACCAAGGCGACGAUCAGUAGCUGGUCUGAGAGGACGACCAGCCACACUGGGACUGAGACACGGCCCAGACUCCUACGGGAGGCAGCAGUGGGGAAUUUUGGACAAUGGGCGCAAGCCUGAUCCAGCCAUGCCGCGUGCGGGAAGAAAGCCUUCGGGUUGUAAACCGCUUUUGGCAGGAACGAAACGGCGCAGGCCAAUACCUUGCGCUAAUGACGGUACCUGCAGAAUAAGCACCGGCUAACUACGUGCCAGCCGCCGCUGUAACAC
rnacentral:rRNA from 1 species